rnacentral:rRNA from 1 species
GACGAACGCUGGCGGCGUGCUUAACACAUGCAAGUCGAACGGAAAGGCCCUGCUUUUGUGGGGUGCUCGAGUGGCGAACGGGUGAGUAACACGUGAGUAACCUGCCCUUGACUUUGGGAUAACUUCAGGAAACUGGGGCUAAUACCGGAUAGGAGCUCCUGCUGCAUGGUGGGGGUUGGAAAGUUUCGGCGGUUGGGGAUGGACUCGCGGCUUAUCAGCUUGUUGGUGGGGUAGUGGCUUACCAAGGCUUUGACGGGUAGCCGGCCUGAGAGGGUGACCGGGCACAAUGGGACUGGGAUACGGCCCAGACUCCUACGGGGGGCAGCAGGUGGGAAUAUUUCACAAUGGGCGGAAGCCUGAUGCAGGAACGCCGCGUGCGGGAAGACGGCCUUUGGGUUGUAAACCCCUUUCGGCUGUGACGAAGCGGUAGUGACGGUAAUGGGUAAAGAAGCACCGGCUAACUACGUG